rnacentral:rRNA from 1 species
UACGUAGGGUGCAAGCGUUAAUCGGAAUUACUGGGCGUAAAGCGUGCGCAGGCGGUUGUGCAAGACAGAGGUGAAAUCCCCGGGCUUAACCUGGGAAUGGCCUUUGUGACUGCACGGCUAGAGUGUGUCAGAGGGGGGUAGAAUUCCACGUGUAGCAGUGAAAUGCGUAGAGAUGUGGAGGAAUACCGAUGGCGAAGGCAGCCCCCUGGGAUAACACUGACGC